rnacentral:rRNA from 1 species
UACGUAGGCAGCGAGCGUUGUUCGGAGUUACUGGGCGUAAAGCGUGCGUAGGCGGUGUCUUAAGUUUGUUGUGAAAUCUCCCGGCUUAACCGGGAGGUGCGGCGAAUACUGAGAUGCUGGAGUGCCGGAGAGGUAAGCGGAAUUCCUGGUGUAGCGGUGAAAUGCGUAGAUAUCAGGAGGAACACCUGCGGUGUAGACGGCUUACUGGACGGUAACUGACGCUGAGGCACGAAAGCGUGGGGAGCGAACAGG